rnacentral:rRNA from 1 species
UACGUAGGGCGCAAGCGUUGUCCGGAAUUAUUGGGCGUAAAGAGCUCGUAGGCGGUUUGUCACGUCGGAUGUGAAAGCCCGGGGCUUAACCCCGGGUCUGCAUUCGAUACGGGCAGACUGGAGUGUGGUAGGGGAGAUCGGAAUUCCUGGUGUAGCGGUGAAAUGCGCAGAUAUCAGGAGGAACACCGGUGGCGAAGGCGGAUCUCUGGGCCAUUACUGACGCUGAGGAGCGAAAGCGUGGGGAGCGAUCCGG